rnacentral:rRNA from 1 species
AAUCAACGCUGGCGGCGUGCCUCAGACAUGCAAGUCGAACGAUUAAAGCUCUCUUCGGAGAGUGCAUAGAGUGGCGCACGGGUGAGUAACACGUAAGUAAUCUACCUUCGAGUGGGGAAUAACGUCCGGAAACGGACGCUAAUACCGCAUAAUGCAGCGGCAUCGCAAGAUGACAGUUGUUAAAGAUUUAUCGCUUGAAGAGGAGCUUGCGGCAGACUAGCUAGUUGGUAAGGUAAUGGCUUACCAAGGCUACGAUCUGUAACCGGUCUUAGAGGACGGUCGGUCACACUGACACUGAAUAACGGGUCAGACUCCUACGGGAGGCAGCAGUCGGGAAUUUUGGGCAAUGGGCGAAAGCCUGACCCAGCAACGCCGCGUGAAGGAUGAAGUAUUUCGGUAUGUAAACUUCGAAAGAAUGGGAAGAAUAAAUGGCGGUACCAUUUAUAAGGUCCGGCUAACUACGUGCCAGCAGCCGCGGUAACAC